UGCUGCACAAGUGGCUGUAGGACUUUCUUCAGCAAAGAUGGCGGACAGAAAUACUCAGAGGGGUACCCCUACACAGACCUGAAAUGGAUCAAAGAUGGCGGACAGAAAUACUAGGAUGGAAGCAAAUAGCAGCAGACUCCUCCUCUGGGACACGGCGGCGAGCUGCAGAUCCCCUCCUGGUCCUCGUGUCCAUCCUCAUGACGUUACGCAGGACACAGGUAGCCUUCACACACCUGAAUUCCUCCAGGAAGCAGUACCAGAUGACCCUGGUCACCCAACCUUGCAGUGCCCUACACGAGCCUGGAUUUUCCCCUGAGGCUAAUAUCCAUAUCAUGCUGCAAUCAAUUGAACAAGGCAAACGAUAAGGUAGAACAUCAUUAAAAUACUCCUACUACAAUGUUAAAACAUUCUACAUUGCGACAUUAUUUCAUUGAUAUCCUGAAACAACUUCUUCAUGUAUGUAUUUUCUGAUGUUUGAUCAGAGGUCUUUUAUCAGAGUAUCUCUUGUCACAUUGAUCACAGCUAAAAGGUUUAUCUCCUGUGUGUUGUCUCUGGUGUACUGUCAGACCGCUAGAUGUCGUAAAACUCUGCCCACAUUGAUCACAGCUAUAAGAUUUCUCUCCUGUGUGUGUUCUCUGGUGUCCUGUCAGAUGGCAAGAUGUAGGAAAACUCCUCUCACAUUCAUCACAGCUAUAAGGUUUCUCUCCUGUGUGUUUUCUCUGGUGUACUGUCAGACCGCUAGAUGUAGUAAAACUCCUCCCACAUUUAUCACAGCUAAAAGGUUUCUCUCCUGUGUGUGUUCUCUGGUGUACUGUCAGAUAGCAAGAUGCAGGAAAACUCCUCCCACAUUGACCACAGCUGUAAAGUUUCUCUCCUGUGUGUUUUCU